rnacentral:rRNA from 1 species
AUUGAACGCUGGCGGAAUGCUUUACACAUGCAAGUCGAGCGGCAGCACGGGUGCUUGCACCUGGUGGCGAGUGGCGAACGGGUGAGUAAUGCACCGGAACGUAUCCAAUAAUGGGGGAUAACGCACCGAAAGGUGUGCUAAUACCGCAUACGCCCUGAGGGGGAAAGCGGGGGAUCGUAAGACCUCGCGUUAAUGGAGCGGCCGAUGCCGGAUUAGCUAGUUGGUGAGGUAAAGGCUCACCAAGGCGACGAUCCGUAGCUGGUCUGAGAGGACGACCAGCCACACUGGAACUGAGACACGGUCCAGACUCCUACGGGAGGCAGCAGUGGGGAAUUUUGGACAAUGGGCGCAAGCCUGAUCCAGCCAUUCCGCGUGAGUGAAGAAGGCCUUCGGGUUGUUAAAGG